GUCCAGCUGACUGUAGCCUGGACUGUGCUUUGAGUGUCGCCUCCCACAGAGUGCUCUCUGGCGAGUGUCGGCGCCUGCACCCUUCUGGCCAGGUUGUUUGAGUCAAGAUCUGUGAAGUGUCUGAGGUUCUACCCUACUUGCAAGCUAACAACUUAGCCUGCCAGUUUUAUGGAUGCUGGCAGAAGAUAUGAGACUCCUGGAUUAUCAACAAAGGACUUUCUUACUUCCAGAAUAACAAACAGCAUGAGCAUCAGCAUAUUUGCAUCACUUCUCCUUGCCCCAAGUCCCACUGGGGUGCCAUCGGCCCAGAUGGAUGCAUAUGCAGUGGGUUGAAUUAAAUAAGCCCUGAGCUCAGGGAACCCAAAUCUUUUUAAUUAGCAGUAAGCAUGCCCCUCCUUAAUUUUUUUUAAGAUUUUUAUUU